GGCCGCAUGGCCUAAUGGUUAAGGCGCUAGAUUUCGGCUCCGAUUCGUCAUCUCUAGAGAUUCCAGGUUCGACUCCUGGUGUGGUCG